UUGCGCGGGACUACACUCUUG
rnacentral:misc_RNA from 1 species